rnacentral:lncRNA from 1 species
AACUCUAAUUACAUUUAGAGAAAUUGAAUUUUUUUUAGAUAAUAUGAGGGGUAACAACAACACACAUAUAUUCUCAUAUUGUCAUGAUUAUGAAUUUCAACUUUAAAUAAACCAAGUUGGUUGAAUAACAUCUCAGAAUAUUCCAACAUUCUUGAAUAUUUAAAAUUUCCAUCUUGAGGGGAGUAUAUCUUAUGUUGGAUAUUAUCG